GCAAUUAUACAGCGAAACUGCGAAUGGCUCAUUAAAUCAGUUAUCGUUUAUUUGAUAGUACCUUACUACUUGGAUAACCGUGGUAAUUCUAGAGCUAAUACAUGCUAAAAACCCCGACUCACGAAGGGGUGUAUUUAUUAGAUUAAAAACCAAUGCCCUUCGGGGCUCUUUGGUGAUUCAUAAUAACUUCACGAAUCGCAUGGCCUUGCGCCGGCGAUGGUUCAUUCAAAUUUCUGCCCUAUCAACUUUCGAUGGCAGGGUCUUGGCCUGCCAUGGUUACAACGGGUAACGGAGGGUUAGGGCUCGACCCCGGAGAGGGAGCCUGAGAAACGGCUACCACAUCCAAGGAAGGCAGCAGGCGCGCAAAUUACCCAAUCCCGACUCGGGGAGGUAGUGACAAUAAAUACUGAUACAGGGCUCUUUUGGGUCUUGUAAUUGGAAUGAGUACAAUUUAAAUCCCUUAACGAGGAACAAUUGGAGGGCAAGUCUGGUGCCAGCAGCCGCGGUAAUUCCAGCUCCAAUAGCGUAUAUUAAAGUUGUUGCAGUUAAAAAGCUCGUAGUUGAACCUUGGGCCUGGCUGGCCGGUCCGCCUCACCGCGUGCACUGGUUCGGCCGGGCCUUUCCCUCUGGGGAGCCGCAUGCCCUUCACUGGGUGUGUCGGGGAACCAGGACUUUUACUGUGAAAAAAUUAGAGUGUUCAAAGCAGGCCUAUGCUCGAAUACAUUAGCAUGGAAUAAUAGAAUAGGACGUGUGGUUCUAUUUUGUUGGUUUCUAGGACCGCCGUAAUGAUUAAUAGGGACAGUCGGGGGCAUCAGUAUUCAAUUGUCAGAGGUGAAAUUCUUGGAUUUAUUGAAGACUAACUACUGCGAAAGCAUUUGCCAAGGAUGUUUUCAUUAAUCAGGAACGAAAGUUAGGGGAUCGAAGACGAUCAGA
rnacentral:rRNA from 1 species